GAGUUUGAUCAUGGCUCAGAACGAACGCUGGCGGCGUGGAUAAGACAUGCAAGUCGAACGGGAGAAUUGCUAGCUUGCUAAUAAUUCUCUAGUGGCGCACGGGUGAGUAACACGUGAGUAACCUGCCCCGAGAGCGGGAUAGCCCUGGGAAACUGGGAUUAAUACCGCAUAGUAUCGAAAGAUUAAAGCAGCAAUGCGCUUGGGGAUGGGCUCGCGGCCUAUUAGUUAGUUGGUGAGGUAACGGCUCACCAAGGCGAUGACGGGUAGCCGGUCUGAGAGGAUGUCCGGCCACACUGGAACUGAGACACGGUCCAGACACCUACGGGUGGCAGCAGUCGAGAAUCAUUCACAAUGGGGGAAACCCUGAUGGUGCGACGCCGCGUGGGGGAAUGAAGGUCUUCGGAUUGUAAACCCCUGUCAUGUGGGAGCAAAUUAAAAAGAUAGUACCACAAGAGGAAGAGACGGCUAACUCUGUGCCAGCAGCCGCGGUAAU
rnacentral:rRNA from 1 species